rnacentral:lncRNA from 1 species
GGGAUUGUCAUCAGACCCAAAUUUCAUGUUACAGUGGAAUCCUUUUGUUGAUGGUGCAAAUACUGGCAAAUCAACCUCAAAACGUGCAAUACCACCUCCCCUACCUCCUAAGCCAAGGAUAAGCAGUUACCCUGAAGACAACUUUCCGGAUGAAGAAAAAGCAUCAACCAUAAAACAUUGUCCUGAUUCAGAAAGCAGAGCUCCCCAAAUUCUCAGAAGACAGAGUAGCCCAAGUUGUGGGCCUGUGGCAGAGACUUCUUCUAUUGGAAAUGGUGAUGGUAUUUCAAAACUGAUGAGUGAAAAUACAGAAGGAUCAGCACAAGCACCACAGUUACCACGAAAAAAGGACAAACGAGACUUCCCUAAACCAGCCAUCAAUGGCCUUCCACCCACCCCAAAAGUUCUGAUGGGAGCAUGCUUUUCAAAAGUUUUUGAUGGCUGUCCUUUGAAAAUUAAUUGUGCAACAUCCUGGAUACAUCCUGAUACAAAAGAUCAGUACAUUAUUUUUGGAACUGAAGAUGGUAUUUACACACUGAAUCUCAAUGAGCUACAUGAGGCAACGAUGGAACAGUUAUUUCCACGGAAGUGUACUUGGCUGUAUGUUAUCAAUAAUACUUUAAUGUCAUUAUCAGGUAUGUAUGUGAUGAUG